GGUGUGCGAUAAAUUUACCUUCACGUGGUGCACUCUGGGCAACGUAUACUUAUACGGCAAAAAAGUCUAU
rnacentral:ribozyme from 1 species